rnacentral:rRNA from 1 species
GGCGUGCCUAAUACAUGCAAGUCGAGCGGACAGAUGGGAGCUUGCUCCCUGAUGUUAGCGGCGGACGGGUGAGUAACACGUGGGUAACCUGCCUGUAAGACUGGGAUAACUCCGGGAAACCGGGGCUAAUACCGGAUGGUUGUCUGAACCGCAUGGUUCAGACAUAAAAGGUGGCUUCGGCUACCACUUACAGAUGGACCCGCGGCGCAUUAGCUAGUUGGUGAGGUAACGGCUCACCAAGGCGACGAUGCGUAGCCGACCUGAGAGGGUGAUCGGCCACACUGGGACUGAGACACGGCCCAGACUCCUACGGGAGGCAGCAGUAGGGAAUCUUCCGCAAUGGACGAAAGUCUGACGGAGCAACGCCGCGUGAGUGAUGAAGGUUUUCGGAUCGUAAAGCUCUGUUGUUAGGGAAGAACAAGUGCCGUUCAAAUAGGGCGGCACCUUGACGGUACCUAACCAGAAAGCCACGGCUAACUACGUGCCAGCAGCCGCGGUAAUACGUAGGUGGCAAGCGUUGUCCGGAAUUAUUGGGCGUAAAGGGCUCGCAGGCGGUUUCUUAAGUCUGAUGUGAAAGCCCCCGGCUCAACCGGGGAGGGUCAUUGGAAACUGGGGAACUUGAGUGCAGAAGAGGAGAGUGGAAUUCCACGUGUAGCGGUGAAAUGCGUAGAGAUGUGGAGGAACACCAGUGGCGAAAG